rnacentral:tRNA from 1 species
CGGCGGCUGGUCGAGUUCGAGGCCGAGCGGGCCGGCACCCUGCUCGACGACGGCCUGCCGCUGCUGCGGCUGCUGCGCGGCUGG